UACGUAGGGGGGCAAGCGUUGUCCGGAAUCAUUGGGCGUAAAGAGCGUGUAGGCGGUCCGGUAAGUCGGCUGUGAAAGUCCAGGGCUCAACCCUGGGAUGCCGGUCGAUACUGCCGGACUAGAGUUCGGAAGAGGCGAGUGGAAUUCCCCGGUGUAGCGGUGAAAUGCGCAGAUAUCGGGAGGAACACCUAUGGCGAAGGCAGCUCGCUGGGACGUUACUGACGCUGAGAACGCGAAAGCGUGGGGGAGCAAACAGG
rnacentral:rRNA from 1 species